AGGAUUAACGCUGGCGGCGUGCCUAACACAUGCAAGUCGAACGAAAUAUUUCGGAUAUUUAGUGGCGAACGGGUGAGUAAUGUACAGGUAAUGUACCUUCGUACUGCGAAUAACAAGACUGAAAAGUUUGCUAAUACGGAAUAGUUUCAUUAGGGGGCAUCCUUUGAUGAACAAAGAUUUAUCGUGCGGAGAUCAGCCUGUAUCCUAUUAGUUAGUUGGUGGGGUAAUGGCCUACCAAGACGACGAUGGGUAACUGGUCUGAGAGGAUGAGCAGUCACAUUGGAACUGAGAUACGGUCCAAACUCCUACGGGAGGCAGCAGUGAGGAAUUUUGCGCAAUGGGGGAAACCCUGAACCGCAGCAACGCCGCGUGAGUGAAGACGGCCUUCGGGUUGUAAAGCUCUGUCGUGUAUGACGAGUAGGGACGGUAAUACACAAGGAAGCCUCGGCUAACUACGUGCCAGCCGCCGC
rnacentral:rRNA from 1 species